AUGAGGCCCAGAAUAGGACAGGUGGGCCAUGAGGCCCGCAGGAGGCAGAGCCCUGGCCUCAGGCAGUGCUGGCCCCUGAUGCUGCUGGGCCUGGCUGUGGGCACCCAUGGCCUGUUGUCCUCUACGACAGCACCUCGGAGCAGGGCUCCAAGCUCUGGAGCCCAGACAAGAAAUAGCCCUUGGAGCCUCUGGGAAAGGUUCCUGCUCAGCACUGGCCCCCAGGGGACACGCCCCAGGUGCUGGCCCAGCAUGUUUUGGUUCGAUCUUCAGCAACCGUGGUAUGUGUUCAGCAGCGGGACCCAGCUCAUUGUCCUAGGUCAGCCCAAGUCCGCACCCUUGGUCACUCUGUUCCCUCCAUCCAGUGAGGAGCUCAGCACCAACAAGGCCACACUGGUGUGUCUCAUCAGUGGCUUCUACCCUGGCAAUGUGACGGUGGCUUGGAAGGCAAAUGGCAACCCUGUCACCCAGGGUGUGGAGACCGCCAAGCCCACAAAGCAGAGCAACAACAAGUACACAGCCAGCAGCUACCUGAGCCUGACACCCAACAAGUGGAAAUUUGGCAGCAGCUUUAGCUGCCAGGUGACGCAUGAGGGGAGCACUGUGGAGAAGACAAUGGUCCCCUCAGAGUGUUCCUAGGACCUUGAGCCCCCUACUCUCGGGGGCUGGAGCCUCAGAACCUCUGGGAGGUUCUCCCCUCCCACCUUAGUCAUUCCCAGCCCUGCUCCCUGCACCCAAUCAAUUCUCAAAAUGUUCUUCUUGC